AAGUCGUAACAAGGUUUCCGUAGGUGAACCUGCGGAAGGAUCAUUAACACUUUUUCCCUUUCCCUAACCUGGAGUGGGAGUUUGGCAGAAAGACCUUUUUAUCGGGGUUUUCUUUGCUAAGCUUCUCUUCAGACCACCCCUUUGUGUGCACUUGUUGAGAGGGAGAAGCCAGAAGCUUUAUUGUCUUUUGGUAGAUCUCUCUUACUAUUUUUCCAUUUUUUCUUUUUUUUACCCCUUUUUUUAAUGCGAUAGACUGAAAUAAUGACCUAUUGGAAGGGUCUGAAACCUCCAAAAAUUGUAAUACAACUCUUAGCAACGGAUAUCUAGGCUCUC
rnacentral:misc_RNA from 1 species